UACGUAGGGUGCAAGCGUUAAUCGGAAUUACUGGGCGUAAAGCGUGCGUAGACGGUUAUGUAAGUCAGGUGUGAAAGCCCCGGGCUCAACCUGGGAACUGCAUUCGAAACUGGCAGGCUAGAGUCUUGUAGAGGGGGGUAGAAUUCCAGGUGUAGCGGUGAAAUGCGUAGAGAUCUGGAGGAAUACCGGUGGCGAAGGCGGCCCCCUGGACAAGACUGACGCUCAGGUGCGAAAGCGUGGGGAGCAAACAGG
rnacentral:rRNA from 1 species